UACGGAGGAUCCGAGCGUUAUCCGGAUUUAUUGGGUUUAAAGGGUGCGUAGGUGGCCUGUUAAGUCAGGGGUGAAAGACGGUAGCUCAACUAUCGCAGUGCCCUUGAUACUGAUGGGCUUGAAUGAACUAGAGGUAGGCGGAAUGUGACAAGUAGCGGUGAAAUGCAUAGAUAUGUCACAGAACACCGAUUGCGAAGGCAGCUUACUAUGGUUUUAUUGACACUGAGGCACGAAAGCGUGGGGAUCAAACAGG
rnacentral:rRNA from 1 species